UAUAUAUUCCCUCCGUCCGGAAAUACUUGUCAUUAAAAUAGAUGAAAAUAGAUGUACCUACAACUAAAAUACAUCUAGAUACAUCCAUUUCAAUGACAAGUAUUUCUGGACGGAGGGAGUACAUA
rfam:Triticum aestivum genome assembly, contig: Triticum_aestivum_CS42_TGACv1_scaffold_095082_2AL